AUUGAACGCUGGCGGCAGGCCUAACACAUGCAAGUCGAGCGGAUGAAGAGAGCUUGCUCUCUGAUUUAGCGGCGGACGGGUGAGUAAUGCCUAGGAAUCUGCCUGGUAGUGGGGGACAACGUUUCGAAAGGAACGCUAAUACCGCAUACGUCCUACGGGAGAAAGUGGGGGAUCUUCGGACCUCACGCUAUCAGAUGAGCCUAGGUACGAUUAGCUAGUUGGUGAGGUAAAGGCUCACUAAGGCGACGAUCGUUAACUGGUCUGAGAGGAUGAUCAGUCACACUGGAACUGGGACACGGUCCAGACUCCUACGGGAGGCAGCAGUGGGGAAUAUUGGACAAUGGGCGAAAGCCUGAUCCAGCCAUGCCGCGUGUGUGAAGAAGGUCUUCGGAUUGUAAAGCACUUUAAGUUGGGAGGAAGGGCAGUAAGUUAAUACCUUGCUGUUUUGACGUUACCGACAGAAUAAGCACCGGCUAACUUCGUGCCAGCAGCCGCCGUAA
rnacentral:rRNA from 1 species